AUUGAACGCUGGCGGCAGGCCUAACACAUGCAAGUCGAACGAGUGGCGGACGGGUGAGUAAUGUCUGGGAAACUGCCUGAUGGAGGGGGAUAACUACUGGAAACGGUAGCUAAUACCGCAUACCAUCAGAUGUGCCCAGAUGGGAUUAGCUAGUAGGUGGUGUAACGGCUCACCUAGGCGACGAUCCCUAGCUGGUCUGAGAGGAUGACCCGACACACUGGAACUGAGACACGGUCCAGACUCCUACGGGAUGCAGCAGUGGGGAAUAAUGCACAAUGGGAGCAAGCCUGAUGCAGCCAUGCCGAGUGGAUGAAGAAGGCCUUCGGGUUGUAAAGUACUUUCAGCGGGGAGGCGUUACCCGCAGAAGAAGCACCGGCUAACUCCGUGCCAGCAGCCGCGGUAAUUC
rnacentral:rRNA from 1 species